rfam:Marinomonas aquimarina strain CECT 5080 genome assembly, contig: 0026
GGGGAUGACAUGGUUUCGACGCCGGUUACAAAACCUGAGGUGCAUGUCGAGAGUGAUACGUGAUCUCGUAAAUCCACAUGUAUCAAUUAUAUAGUCGCAAACGACGAAAACUACGCUCUAGCAGCUUAAUAACCUGCUAGUGUGCUGCCCCCAGGUUGCUUGUAGCCCGGGAUUCCGCAGUAUCAUAAAUUACGAGAUGCUAUCCGAUGCCCUGCCUGGGGAUAAGGAUCUAAGAUCAAACAGGCUCGCUGGUUACACCCUGUCCUUCGGGCGGUAAACAGUCAAAAAGUAGAAGUGACUAAACAUGUAGAUCCGAUGGCAGAGGACUGGCGGACGGGGGUUCGACUCCCCCCAUCUCCACCA